rnacentral:rRNA from 1 species
UACAGAGGGGGCAAGCGUUUGUUCGGAAUUACUGGGCGUAAAGGGCGCGUAGGCGGCCUGCUAAGUCGAACGUGAAAUCCCCGGGCUCAACCCGGGAACUGCGUCCGAUACUGGCAGGCUUGAAUUCGGGAGAGGGAUGCGGAAUUCCAGGUGUAGCGGUGAAAUGCGUAGAUAUCUGGAGGAACACCGGUGGCGAAGGGCGGCUACUUCGACGGACCGUAUAUGAGCGCAUGACGGGAGCGAAAAGC